rnacentral:rRNA from 1 species
AUGGCAGGGCAUAUUAGGGGUAUCUCUCCCCAUCUUGUCCUUGGGGGUGGCUUGACCCAUCUGCAGUAUGCUGAUGACACAAUCCUGAUGAUAGAAGGAUCGGAUGCAGAUAUCACCAGCCUAAAAUUCCUCCUGCUUUGUUUCCAAGAGAUGUCUGGCCUCACUAUUAACUUUGCCAAGAGUGAGGUAAUGACUUUAGGAUAUUCAGCGGAGGAGGCCCUCGGCAUUGCAAAUAAGUUCAAUUGCCGAUUGGGUUCUUUACCGACUACCUACCUAGGCUUACCGAUUAGUGAUUCCCGGAUCCAGGAGAAGGAUCUUCGGCCGACGGUUUCCAAGGUUCAGCACCGUGUGGAACCUUGGCAAGGCCGAUGGCUUUCAAAGGCCGAGAGGGUUGUGCUUAUCAACUCCUCUAUGAUUAGCCUCCUGAUGUUCCUAAUGGGAUUCUAUAGUCUCAACGAAUCCCUGCAUCAGGAGAUUGCCAAGUACCGGUCCCAGUUUUUUUGGGCGGGAAAGGGGAAUAAGCAGAACUACCACAUGGUUAAGUGGUCAAAAAUAUGCAAACCUAAAGACCAAGGAGGGCUAUGGGUCAUAUCCUCAAAGCGGAUGAAUAUUGCCUUGCUCUCCAAGUGGUUAUGGCGUAUUGAGACCGGUGACGGUGGUCUUUGGCUCCACAUCAUCCGCAACAAAUACUUGCGGGGCCAACCUCUUGCCUUUGCUCCCAGGGUGGGUGGCUCCCAAUUCUGGCAGUCAAUCAUCCAACUCCUACCGGUCCUGUGGAUUGGCUCGGGCCCGAACACGCUUUUCUGGCUAGACCGCUGGUCGGGCUCGAAGCAUUUCGCGGAGCGCUUCCAGAUGCUUUUCUCAAUUUGUGCCACCCCCUCACGGUUGGGGCGGCCCUACACGACUUAG